rnacentral:tRNA from 1 species
ACCUGGAUACCUCAGUUGGUAGAGCUUCUGACUUUUAAUCUGAGGGUCUAGAGUUCAAGUCCUUAUCCAGGUA